AUUAGGCUUACAGCCGCCCAAAUUUUCAGCCAAGUUUGAAAUUUUCACACAUACACUAUACACGCUCGAGUCUCCUUGAAUACCCUCAACACUCACUACACUCUCUCCCUCGCUCAACUCUCUCUCCCUUCUCUACUCUCUCUCUCUUGUUAAUCUCUCUGAAGCUAAUCUCUCUCUGGCCACCAUUUUCACUCAAUCUCGCCAUCACUUUUAAUUAACUUGGAUUUGCAUUUAUAGUUGGAGCACAGUUGAUUUGUGGGUCGAGGUUCCAAUUCUUCAAUUAGGGUUUUGGCUUUUCAAUCAGGGUGUUCUUAGUUUGGGUUUGCACUCCAAGACUUUAUUAUAAGUACAACACAGUUUUGUAUUUGGUGUGAGUGAGCAGUAAAGAAUUCUAUGGAAGAUGCUAGUGACUACCGGUGGUAUAUAACCAGGAGAAGCUUAAGCCGUUAAUGGAUCAACUUAACAAAGUCAAAGACUUGACUGUUCCAGAAUUUGGAAAUUUCCGAACUUGAGAAGUGCGAGCAAAUGCAAGAAUAUGUUUAUAUAUAAUAGUGUAGUGUAGUGGGAUGUUUGGUUGGAUUCGUUUAAUACUUUGAUUUGGUUGGAUUUGUUAGGUAGUUUUGUUUGGUUGGAUUUGUUAUAAACUUUGAUUUGUAUGAAAGAAUAGUUUAAUGUUUCAGUGGAUAUAGUGAAAUAUUGCAAAGUUGUUAAUUUA